CGAGAGAGAGCUUGCUUUCUCGAGCGAGUGGCGAACGGGUAGGAGUAACGGACGUGAGGAACCGUACGCCUCAAAGAGGGGGGACAACAGUUGGAAACGACUGCUAAUACCGCAUAGGCCCACGACCCGGCAUCGGGUAGAGGGAAAAGGAGCAAUCCGCUUUGAGAUGGCCUCGCGUCCGAUUAGCUAGUUGGUGAGGUAAUGGCCCACCAAGGCGACGAUCGGUAGCCGGACUGAGAGGUUGAACGGCCACAUUGGGACUGAGACACGGCCCAGACUCC
rnacentral:rRNA from 1 species